GACGAACGCUGGCGGCGUGCUUAACACAUGCAAGUCGAACGGAAAGGCCCUGCUUUUGUGGGGUGCUCGAGUGGCGAACGGGUGAGUAACACGUGAGUAACCUGCCCUUGACUUUGGGAUAACUUCAGGAAACUGGGGCUAAUACCGGCUAGGAGCUCCUGCUGCAUGGUGGGGGUUGGAAAGUUUCGGCGGUUGGGGAUGGACUCGCGGCUUAUCAGCUUGUUGGUGGGGUAGUGGCUUACCAAGGCUUUGACGGGUAGCCGGCCUGAGAGGGUGACCGGCCACAUUGGGACUGAGAUACGGCCCAGACUCCUACGGGAGGCAGCAGUGGGGAAUAUUGCACAAUGGGCGGAAGCCUGAUGCAGCAACGCCGCGUGCGGGAUGACGGCCUUCGGGGUGUAAACCGCUUUCGCCUGUGACGAAGCGUGAGUGACGGUAAUGGGUAAAGAAGCACCGGCUAACUACGUG
rnacentral:rRNA from 1 species